UAUUUUGAAUUCAAUUUAUUUUUAUUUUUUUUAAUCUAUAAAUUAGGCUCUUUGUAUUGGUGACUAUUUUUUCUACAAAAUACAAGCAAAAACAUCAAUUCUUAAAAAUUAAAAAUUAAUUAAUAUAUAUUUUGAUAUUUUUAUUAGGAUAUUUAAUGUACUUAUCGAUAACCAUAAAGGAAACUUAUAUUAAUAAAUAGUACGAAGACUACUGUGAUUCAAUAUUAAGGAUUUUAGC
rnacentral:lncRNA from 1 species